rnacentral:rRNA from 1 species
CCUACGGGAGGCAGCAGUGAGGAAUAUUGGACAAUGGUCGGGGGACUGAACCAGCCAAGCCGCGUGAGGGAUGAAGGUACAGAGUAUCGUAAACCUCUUUUGUCAGGGAACAAAGGCGGGGACGUGUCCCCGGAUGAGUGUACCUGAAGAAAAAGCAUCGGCUCACUCCGUGCCAGCAGCCGCGGUAAUACGGAGGAUGCGAGCGUUAUCCGGAUGUAUUGGGUUUAAAGGGUGCGCAGGCGGUCUGUUAAGUCAGCGGUAAAAGACCGGGGCUCAACCCCGGCCCGCCGUUGAAACUGGCAGUCUCGAGUUGGAUAGAAGUAUGCGGAAUGCGCGGUGUAGCGGUGAAAUGCAUAGAUAUCGCGCAGAACUCCGAUGGCGAAGGCAGCAUGCCGGCUCCACACUGACGCUGAGGCACGAAAGCGUGGGUAUCGAACAGGAUUAGAUACCCUAGUAGUC